rnacentral:rRNA from 1 species
UACGAAGGGUGCAAACGUUGCUCGGAAUCAUUGGGCGUAAAGCGCACGUAGGCGGCUUCGCAAGUCGGAUGUGAAAUCCCUCGGCUCAACCGAGGACGUGCAUCCGAAACUGCGGAGCUUGAGUACUGAAGAGGAUCGCGGAAUUCCCGGUGUAGAGGUGAAAUUCGUAGAUAUCGGGAGGAACACCAGUGGCGAAGGCGGCGAUCUGGGCAGUUACUGACGCUGAGGUGCGAAAGCGUGGGGAGCAA